GACCAAAGAGGGGGACCUUCGGGCCUCUUGCCAUCGGAUGUGCCCAGAUGGGAUUAGCUAGUAGGUGGGGUAACGGCUCACCUAGGCGACGAUCCCUAGCUGGUCUGAGAGGAUGACCAGCCACACUGGAACUGAGACACGGUCCAGACUCCUACGGGAGGCAGCAGUGGGGAAUAUUGCACAAUGGGCGCAAGCCUGAUGCAGCCAUGCCGCGUGUAUGAAGAAGGCCUUCGGGUUGUAAAGUACUUUCAGCGGGGAGGAAGGGAGUAAAGUUAAUACCUUUGCUCAUUGACGUUACCCGCAGAAGAAGCACCGGCUAACUCCGUGCCAGCAGCCGCGGUAAUACGGAGGGUGCAAGCGUUAAUCGGAAUUACUGGGCGUAAAGCGCACGUAGGCGGUUUGUUAAGUCAGAUGUGAAAUCCCCGGGCUCAACCUGGGAACUGCAUCUGAUACUGGCAAGCUUGAGUCUCGUAGAGGGGGGUAGAAUUCCAGGUGUAGCGGUG
rnacentral:rRNA from 1 species